GACGAACAUCCCGUUAAACAGUUACGUUUGCAUUGCGACAAAUUUAUAGCCGCCUCUUGAUCGCCCUGAUAUUUGAUAGCAGCGGUAUGACUUUGCACACGACCAACUUCAAGACAUUCUAUUUCCAGUAUUCUCUGUAGUCACCUGACGGACUUACGGACAAGUCAACAGACGGAUCAAACCAUCAAACACACUUUUGCUCUCUUAAAAAAAGCUGAAGGAUCAAAUAAUACCUAAAGGAAAUGAUAAGGAAAUUAUCAUCUACGGCAAUAUCUUGCUCAACCCUUUUCCAGGUGGUGACAAUCAACGGGUCGUUGAGUGGUGAUUCCGGGGCCACUUAUCGAAUGGAUCUAUCAUAAUAAAAAUAAUUAAUUUUACUGAAUCGUGAGCAAUCGGCUAUCGACGUUCGGACAGGCUCGAGUGGCGCACGAUCGGCGACCGCGCAAAUAUUGGCCAAAUCAAUUGUCGGCGGAAAUGAGGCAAUCAAGUCAAAAGGUUUAUCUCGCUCUAGUGACUCGGUUCUCCGUUCUCGGUUCUGAAUUCUCCAUUCUCAGUGCGGCGACCAACUGACCAACAGACGUCACCUCCAUUUGCAUAUCAAAAUAACGUACAAGUCGCAGCUAUCAAUGGACGGGGACACGUUUGACAAAAAAGCCAAUAGAAAAUAAAAAAACCCACGAAACCAAGUUAGGGGGAAGUGUACCGAAUGCUGUUUGAUUACCGAGAAAACAUAGCCAUCUAGAUGUGUGGGCUCGGAUUAAGUGGAUACAUUCGUAUGUGUGCACUUGCAUGACUGCAAGUUCUUGGAAACUUCCACAAAAUAUAAGGAUUUAUAAAUUUGGUUUUCGUUGAAUAGCAAGCACUGAUAUCUAAGCUACUAAGUUUACUUAUUUGUAGUGCAAUUAUGCUCUUACAUCAUAAAUAACUUGGAAACUGUUGCACAACUUAUUUGCAAAGAAGGAGAGCGGAAUGAGCUUUUGAGCAUAUAAUCUAUAAAGGGUUCUCAGAAAUUAUUAUUUCAUCAUUUAGCUGCAAUUGGGAAGUCAGUGGAAUACUAAUGAAUUCUCAAUUUAAAAUUAGAAUAAACUUGUGCAACUCAGUUUAUAUAGACAAAGUAUUCAUAAUUUGAAAUCUUUCCAACCCAUACUUGUUUUAUUGGUAAGAAAGCAUAAACUAGUUCUUUUGAAUUAUAGAGUUAGAAACAAAAUGAAAAAUAAUGAAUUUAAACGAUUAUAUUUUUUAAACUUUAGACUGGAGCAUUAGUGUAACAAAAACGUUUGAAAAAUAGAGUACUUACAACUUAUUUAUUUGGUUUGUUAAUAAAAUACUUAUAAAAUACCUA